UACGUAGGUGGCAAGCGUUAUCCGGAUUUAUUGGGUGUAAAGGGCGUGUAGGCGGGAAUGCAAGUCAGAUGUGAAAACUCAGGGCUCAACCCUGAGCCUGCAUUUGAAACUGUGUUUCUUGAGUGCUGGAGAGGCAAUCGGAAUUCCGUGUGUAGCGGUGAAAUGCGUAGAUAUACGGAGGAACGCCAGUGGCGAAGGCGGAUUGCUGGACAGUAACUGACGCUGAGGCGCGAAAGCGUGGGGAGCAAACAGG
rnacentral:rRNA from 1 species